CGCGUGCCGCGCCGCCGCCGCCGGUCGCACCGGUCUGCCCGCCAUCCAAGCCUCGGCCGUCCCAUCCCGGCGCGCCUCCCCACAAGGUCGCCGCCCCUGUGCCUCCUCGACGACCGCGCCACCACGCGAUCCACGAGCACGCCCGCCCCGGCAUGCCACCGGCCGGAGGUUCGGUCACCAUUAUUGCCUCCGGUCUCCACCCACCCUUGCGCCACCUAUAAAAGGGGGCCCGAACCCCCACCGCCUCCCUCACACCCCAGCACCGCCUCCCUGCUCGCUCCCUCCUCGCUACCGCCGCCCGCCGCCGCUGGUAACCGCCGCCGCCACCUCCUUGCCCGGCGUCGGCGCCCCUUCCCCCACAAUUUGCCGGCCAAGGUGAUGGCCAAAACGGGCCCCCCACACCAUCCUCUCCCUCCCGCACCACUCGUCCUCGUCGCCGACGAGCCAAGCCGGCCAGACCACCGCCGGCCGUGCGCCCCCCCCCCCUCCUCUGUUAUGAAGCCUAGGAAAGAAGGAAGAAGAAGGGGAUCGAUUUUCGAUCUGCCCCUCGGUUUCCUCCUAUUUGCAACCCAAUCCCUCCACCUCUCUCCAGGGAAUUCCACAAAUAAGCCCUUCCACUUUUUAGAGUAUUUACAAAUAGGUCCUUGGUUUUCACAAUUCAGUCCUAAACCUUGUUUUGAAGCCCCUAACCUCCCUUUAACCCGUCAUUUCAUGCGCCAAACUUCCUCCAAUCGAACCCAAAUUCGACCACGGCCUCCUCUCAUAUAUUUCCGCCAAGGCACAUCCAAAUUUCAUGAAAAUAACCUUCCUACCUAUUUUCCGUUCAUGUUUCCUGUUCGGGGCUCAACGGGUAAAAUCUUUUUCGUUUUUAUUUAUUGUGUGCUCGUUUGUGUGUGCCGUAGAUCGCGGAGUACCCGAGGAGGAGCGCGAGGAGGAGUUCGACCACGAGCCCGAUCCCGAGGACCAGUACCGCGAGCAGGAGCUCCUGGAAGGCUUUGAGAACGGCAAGUCCAAUCUCACCCUUGAUGCAUAUUUAAUACCCAGUUUUUCAGACACAACCUAUUGGCCUAUUUUAUAAAAUGCAUGUUGUUUUAUCGCAAGACAUGGUUGGAUAGCCACCCCUUGAUUGUUAUGAUUAUUCCUUGUUUUCCCAUAUUUAUCUCUAAAUAUGAGUUGCUCUGUUUAGAUGAUAAAUACUGCUAGAAUGCUUAGGAACUCAUUAUCCAAAUUCAAUCAUGACUACAUCUGUUUAUUCGAAAAAUAAAUAUGUGAGUGUGUUCAACUGAGGAAUUGGGUUUUUGGGUAUAAAGGGAGGUGGUGGAUGAGAUGGAUGGGCGUUUCUUGUGUGGAAUGCCGGAUUGUUAAGCUCAUACCUUAGUGGUUGAGCAGAGAUGGGAGAUCCAUCUUGUCAUGGCUAAGGACCGAGUUGAUGUGUCAUCUUGCAUAAUUCCAUGAUCGUGCAACCACUCGACCUUUGUAUGGGCAACGGCUUAGGAUAAACCCCACUAGCUAAACUGCUAGGCUUCAGGUGUGCUGGUGAGCAACGGUAGCCCUUGGAAAAGGACUAAGCUCUUGGUGACUUAGGUCCCAGUUUCGGCCCUGUGGAUGGGUUGCUAAUCCCUUGGGUGCUUCCGUGUUGACUAGUCAGUGUUGGUUAAGGUGGGUAAUGGCUUUGUUAGGAUCCGUACCAUCACUAAGGUGAUCGUGAUACGGUACCCUACUUGUGGGAAAAGUGUACAACCUCUGCAGAGUUAAAAACCUAUCCGGGUAGCCGUGUCCACGGCAUUGGACGAGUUACGGCUCGGUCACACAACUAGCUUUUGGGAGAUGACUGGUAUAUACGGUGUGUGUGUGUGGGAUUUUGGAAGUGUCCGGCAGUUGUGCCGUGCGCUACGGCGGACGGGGAGUCCGGUAGUGAUAAAACUUGGAUCCUUUGUGUAGGAUCAACCCCACUUGAUAUAAUGUUUAUUAAAGAAAAUGCUUUAUGAAAAUCCUUUGAAAUGAAACCCUGCAUAUGUCAAAAAUCUAGCUUUAUUGCAAAUAAACCUUAACCAUAUCCUUAUUGAAUCUUAUGCAUAUUCUUGUUCUAUCCCCCUCCGUGGAUGGGGUUGGACUUGUUGAGUACUUUUGUACUCACCCUUGUGUUGUUGCUUCAGAGGAGAAUCCGGACUUCGUCGCCGAGGACUUCGAGUAGGAGGUUGCGUCUGCACCCAACGCUGCCUGCGGUAUUGGCCCUUUUGCAGGAUGCUUCCGUUGACACAUAGUUCCGAUUGCAGCCCGGAGUCCGAUUGGACUGCAACUUGGAUUUGUAUUGUAAUCGCUUUAGUCUUGCUUUGGGUGUGGCUUGCCCGCCCGCUCCUUCGGGAGUUGUACAGUUUCUGAACUAUCUGUUGAAUAAAUGUGUUAUCAG
rnacentral:lncRNA from 1 species